rnacentral:lncRNA from 1 species
GCAGUUGUCGUUUUUGGUCCUGCAGUAGUUAUUGAUCCUGCAGAUGUUGUUGUUGGCCGUGCAGUUGUGGAUCUUUUAUUUAUUAUUGUUGUCCCUGCAGUUGUCUCUUCUGUUGUCGUAGAUGUUGUUUUUUCUGCUGCUGUUGUUGGUUCAGCAGUUGUUGUUUUUCGUCCUGCAGUUGUUCUUGGUUGUUCAACAGUUGGCUUUGUUAGUCCUGCAGUUGUUGUUGUUCCUACUGUAGUGGAUAAUAGUCUUGCAAUAGCAGUGGUAGGUCCUGCAAUUGUUGUUGGUUCAGAAGUGGUCGUGGUUGGCCGUGCAGUUGUGGAUCUUUUAGUGAUUAUUGUUGUUCCUGCAGUUGUCUCUUCUGUUGUCAUAGAUGUUGGUUUUUCUGCUGCUGUUGUUGGUUCAGCAGUUGUCGUUUUUCGUCCUGCAGUUGUUGUUGUUGUGGAUCUUGCUGUCGUAGUUGAUGGACCUGCAGUUGUUGGUUUUGGGACUGCAUAUGUUGUUGGUUGUUCAACAGUUGGCUUUGUUUGUCCUGCAGUUGUUGUUGUUCCUACUUUAGUGGAUAAUAGUCUUGCAAUAGCAGUGGUAGGUCCUGCAAUUGUUGUUGGUUCAGAAGUGGUCGUGGUUGGCCGUGCAGUUGUGGAUCUUUUAGUGAUUAUUGUUGUUCCUGCAGUUGUCUCUUCUGUUGUCAUAGAUGUUGGUUUUUCUGCUGCUGUUGUUGGUUCAGCAGUUGUCGUUUUUCGUCCUGCAGUUGUUGUUGUUGUGGAUCUUGCUGUAGUAGUUGAUGGACCUGCAGUUGUUGGUUUUGGCACUGCAGUUGUUGUUGGAUGUUCAACAGUUGGCUUUGUUAGUCCUGCAGUUGUUGUUGCUCCUACUGUAGUGGAUAAUAGUCUUGCAGUAGCAGUGGUAGGUCCUGCAAUUGUUGUUGGUUUAAAAGUUGUCGUUGUUUGUCCUGCAGUUUUUGUUGUGAGUCCUGUAGUUUUAGCUCUGGUUCCAGCAGUUGUUGUUGUUGGUUCUUCAGAUGGCGUAGUUGGUCCUGCCGUUGUUGUUGUGGGUCCAGCAGAAGUAGUUAGUAGGCUUGCAGUAACAGUGGUAGGUUCCACAAUUGUUUUUCGUUCAACAGUUGUCGAUUUUGGUCCUGCAGUGGUUGAUGUUCCUGCCGUUGUAGCUCUUGUUCCAGCAAUUGUAGUUGUUAGUUCAGCAGUUGCCGUUGUUGUUGUUGGUAGUUCAGAGGUUGUUGUUGUGGGUCCUGUAGCUUUUGUUUUUCGUUGA